rnacentral:rRNA from 1 species
CCUACGGGAGGCAGCAGUGGGGAAUUUUGGACAAUGGGCGCAAGCCUGAUCCAGCAAUGCCGCGUGAGUGAAGAAGGCCUUCGGGUUGUAAAGCUCUUUUGUCAGGGAAGAAACGGUGGAGGUUAAUACCUUCUGCUAAUGACGGUACCUGAAGAAUAAGCACCGGCUAACUACGUGCCAGCAGCCGCGGUAAUACGUAGGGUGCAAGCGUUAAUCGGAAUUACUGGGCGUAAAGCGUGCGCAGGCGGUUGUGCAAGACAGAUGUGAAAUCCCCGGGCUCAACCUGGGAAUUGCAUUUGUGACUGUACGGCUAGAGUGUGUCAGAGGGGGGUAGAAUUCCACGUGUAGCAGUGAAAUGCGUAGAGAUGUGGAGGAAUACCGAUGGCGAAGGCAGCCCCCUGGGAUAACACUGACGCUCAUGCACGAAAGCGUGGGGAGCAAACAGGAUUAGAUACCCUGGUAGUCCACGCCCUAAACGAUGUCUACUAGUUGUCGGGUCUUUAUUGACUUGGUAACGCAGCUAACGCGUGAAGUAGACCGCCUGGGGAAGUCGGUCGCAGNUUAAACUUAAUGAAUUGACCGGNUGAGAGNGCGAGACGACGACGAGGGAGGAGG